rnacentral:rRNA from 1 species
AACGGCCGCGGUAUCCUAACCGUGCGAAGGUAGCGUAAUCACUUGUUCUUUAAAUGAGGACUAGUAUGAAUGGCACCACGAGGGUUAAACUGUCUCCUUUUUUUAAUCAGUGAAACUAAUCUCCCCGUGAAGAAGCGGGGAUUCUUUUAUAAGACGAGAAGACCCUAUGGAGCUUUAAACAAGUUAACACCUGCUACUAAUCUUCACUUUCCUAAACCACCACAUUAAGUAUAGCACCUCUGAUUAACAGUUUUCGAUUGGGGUGAUCAUGGAGCAAAAAUCAACCUCCACGACGAAAAGGAACACCUCCUUGAGCCAAAAGCUACAACUUUAAGCACUAAAAAACUAACGCACUUUGACCCAAUUCUUUGAGCAACGAACCAAGUUACCCUAGGGAUAACAGCGCAAUCCACUUUAAGAGCCCCUAUCGACAAGUGGGUUUACGACCUCGAUGUUGGAUCAGGGUAUCCCAGUGGUG